rnacentral:lncRNA from 1 species
ACCUUUUUCCCAUAACCACUCCCCACCGUAAUCGGAUCCACCACCACCCUAACAGCCUCCAUACCGACCGACUCCAUAGCCGCCUCGCCAGUCCGUCUUCCACGAUAGUCGCCUUCAUACCCAUCGUCACUAUAGUCGCUGCUAGGUCCACAAACCAUCAUAGCAGUUUUCAUAUCCAAGCCCCACAACCAGAGAUCUGUCUCAACCAGUCCAGCAAUACCCACCAUAGCCACCAUACCCGUCGUUGCCACUAUACCCGCCUCCAUAAGCAACCUACCAUACCCUCCACCGCCACCUAUCACUCAAAUCUGAAAAAAGAAAAAAAGAAAUAGAGAAAAGGGGAAGAUAGAGAAAACAACCCACCGGCCACCAUACCCUCGGCCAUAGCCGUCA